GAUGGAGGAGUUUGUAGAAGGAGAGAAGGAAGAGGCCAAGGUGGACAAAGAGCAGUCCGUGCAGCUUCCGCCGAAGGUUGGAAUGGCAGGAGAUAGCAAGAUGGGGGAAGCUCCAAGCUCCAG
rnacentral:SRP_RNA from 1 species